GAUGAACGCUGGCGGUAUGCCUAACACAUGCAAGUCGUACGAGAGUUUUUAACUCUAGUGGCGGACGGGUGAGUAACACGUGAGAAUUUGCCUUUAGGAGGGGGAUAACAAUUGGAAACGAAUGCUAAUACCCCAUAUGCUUUUGAGUGAAACGGAUUUAUCCGCCUAGAGAGAAGCUCGCGGCUGAUUAGCUUGUUGGUAAGGUAAGAGCUUACCAAGGCGACGAUCAGUAUCUGGUUUGAGAGGACGAUCAGACACACUGGAACUGAGACACGGUCCAGACUCCUACGGGAGGCAGCAGUGGGGAAUUUUCCGCAAUGGGCGAAAGCCUGACGGAGCAAUACCGCGUGAGGGAAGACUGCCUAUGGGUUGUAAACCUCUUUUUUCAGGGAGGAAUAAAUGACGUGUACCUGAAGAAUAAGCAUCGGCUAACUCCGUG
rnacentral:rRNA from 1 species